AUGUUCCUUCCAUUUUUGCUGCUGCUGGCAGCUUCAUCCUAUGUGGACUGUGCAGUCAAACUCACUCAGGUCACCUCAGUGAUGUUAAAGCCAGGAGAUUCUUUAACCCUCAGCUGUAAAGUAUCCGGCUACUCUGUUACUGAUAACAGCUACGCCACGGCUUGGAUCCAACAACCUGCAGGGAAAACCCUGGAAUGGAUAAACGACAUUUGGGGUGGUGGAGCAAUUGGUUCUAAAGAUUUUCUAAAAAACAAGUUCAGUAUUUCUAAAGACGGCUCCAGCAGCACGGUGACUCUGAGAAGACAGAAUCUGCAGACUAAAGACACAGCUGUGUAUUACCACUGUAAAAAGUGGCUGUGA